UACAGAGGGUGCAAGCGUUGUUCGGAAUUAUUGGGCGUAAAGGGCGCGUAGGCGGUGCGGUAAGUCUGUAGUGAAAUCUCUGGGCUCAACUCAGAGUCUGCUGCAGAAACUGCCGUGCUUGAGUGUGGGAGAGGUGAGUGGAAUUCCCGGUGUAGCGGUGUAAUGCGUAGAUAUCGGGAGGAACACCUGUGGCGAAAGCGGCUCACUGGACCACAACUGACGCUGAGGCGCGAAAGCUAGGGGAGCAAACAGG
rnacentral:rRNA from 1 species